ensembl:lncRNA
AGGUCAAGGGGCAAGGGACGGGGCUUCAGUGCUGGUUUAAGGACAGGGCUCUGAGUCGGUGUUGUGUCCUCUGUCAGCUGCUUGAUGAGCUGUUUAACACCCACUGCUGGUUCACCUUCAGGGGUUGGCUGCAAUGGAGAGUGAAGAUCUGAACCAUGGCCGGUGGCAGCUACCCCAGGAGAAGACGGCAAAUCGAGCAAAAGACUUAUUCGCGACUUGACGCUAACCCUGCGCUUGUCUUCAUCGGUCUCUUUCCCAGCCAUUUCUUCUUUGUUUUUGUUGCUUUGGUCUGAGAGGAUGGGAUUACAUACAUCAUCAGUACUUUGUGGUGUGGUACUCAUAAAGGUUUUAUCUUCCUCUUUGCUUUGUGGUAGUGCUUUUCCCUCUGGAGUGUUGUCUACUGUAUUUGCUUCAGGAACUUUGCGGUGCAGUGAAAGACCAAUAGACUCAAAUUUGGAAGUGAGAUCAGCUGAAAGGGGUCGUCUCCCAGCCCAGCGAGGAGCAGGAACCGGGUUCUCCAUCUUUGUUGGACUGCCGGGGAAAAUGGCUGAUACAGGUCUGGGCUUGGUGCCUCUAGGAUGUGGUCGCAGAGGCACAGGUGUUUCAGGCUGAGCCUUUUCUUUUCCUUCAUUUUCUUGCCCUGCAUCAAGAAGAAAGCCCAUGGACUUUGCUCUAGUAAGGGAGGUACCAACUUUACCUUGUGCAUCGUGGCCUUUUUCAUCUUCUUUUUUAGUGGUUCCAGACCACUCUGCUGCUGGAAGUUUUUUAAAGCUCUUUGAGUAGGCCAAGCUUGAUGCUGAGGGUUUCUGCCUCUGUGCUGGCACAGGAGGAGGGGUGGGUCUGUUAGGGUCUCCAGUGUCAUGAGGAGGAGCUGGUUUAAAUGGCUGGGCUACUGGCUUUGUUGUCUGUCCAGUGUUCAACUUAGUGGGUGAUCGAAAGGAGGUAGAGGCAGGACGGUUGGGGUUGGUUAAAAGUGGUCUGGGUUUGCUGCUGGAAACCGGCUGCUGUGGUUUUGGAUUGCUUGGAAACUCUGGUUUGUAUCCAACAAGGCGAGUGGACUCAGGUCGGGGUUUGGUUUGAGGCUUUGGGGCGAGUAUGGGCUUAAUUGUAGGAUUUUUCUCCACAGAAAAAGGUUUGGGAGUAAGCCGUGGCUUGGCGCUUGGGGCAGGUUUGUUUGGUUCAGCUGCGAUGACAUGCGGCUGAUUGACAGACGGGAUGUCAAUGAGGCUCUUAUUGCUGGAGUCUGUGAGGGGAGUCAGGUGAUGUCGUCCUCCUGCUACUGUCCUUCCUACCUCCGUAGUGUGAACCUCCACCUGAGCAGCCAUCCUUUUGAACGGCA